UCAAUUUUUGUUUAGACUUACCAUUCUGCUUCCUAGAGUCACUAGAAUUUAUUUUUCUCAAAUGCAGCAAAUUUCAUUCAAAUUGGUCAGAAAAUGACUUGUUUUACAUGUAUUUGAGUAGAAAAUUAAGAGUUUGGCCCGAGCUAAAUGGAACUCUUUUAAGGAAAUCUGAGGUUAGCAUGCAACACGCUUUCUCAACCAAUUCAUGCUGAAUUGUAGAAAAAACAAUGUACUGCUCACAAUUUCAACAGUGACUCAUCACCCGACUUCUGUACUUUAUCUAGAAACCAGUCUUGACUGUCAGUCGAUGAUGUAUUGGGUUUGAUGGCGCAAGGGCCAGUAAUGACCAAAGAGCACCAGGAAAUAGUAUGAGGUAUUCGAUGAUGCGGUCAAUGCAAGUAGUACAGAUGUAACUUGGCUGUAUAGUGGCCUAAAACAUUGCCUGUAAAAUGCGUAAAAGAUACUGUAUAUGUAUUAAGACUAUGACUUGUAAAGUGAGCCAUGAACAAAAUAUAUAGGUUGCGAAGUGGUUGUAAGAUUGAAAUGCAGGAUUAUUCAGGUAGCAGUAAUGCCUCACACGGGCGCUUUUACGGAAGGGCAGGGAAGCACGUGCUCUAAAUAUUAUAAUUGCAGCAGCAGCCUUCGAUAAAAGGCUGUGCUACUGAUCACUUGUGUGUAUAACAUCCAGUAAAGAAACAUCAUUUAAAAAGGCUAAAACUGACUUGCUAUCAAAAAGUGGCUCGCUGCCAAGGAACAUUGCUGGAUCGAGUGGAAUUUGCCGACACUGUGGUCAACGAAUGUUUUUUUCGUUGGGCUUCUAUUUCACGACAUUCCAGCAAGACGUGCAGGACAGUCAGUGUCUCACCACAUUUACCACAAAUAGGUGGCUCAUCGCUGGUCAACAGGCAUGAGUGUGUGCUGUAUGUGUGCCCAAUUCUUAAUCGACACAUGAUGACCUUGGUUCGGCGUGUU
rnacentral:lncRNA from 1 species